AAUUAACGUUGCAUAAAAGUGUACUAACUGAUGCGAUGUCUAUGUGUGUACUGUCCAGAGAAAAGGAGUGUACUAUAAAGAAAAGGGACACUCAAUAAUAAAAAUGACACAUGCUCAAGCCCCCGAAGAUUGCCGACAGAUAGCGAUGAAUGCUCACCAAUGCUCCAAGUAUAUCAUCCACCAAUUAGAGAGUUAAAAAACUGUCACAAAAAUCUCCAUAAGAGUGUCCAUUCUCUGGUACUGUCAAAGAGUCAUUCGGUUGGUGACACACUGCACUACCGCACUCUAUGUAGCAAUGCCCAACACGAUGACAACACUGGUCGUGAUGGUGUACAUGAAACUAACUUGUUUAAUAUAAUAUUAGAAAAAAUUUUUUUAAACUUUGCGUCGACUUUACAAAAUAAAGGACAAAACGCCUAUUUUAGAAAAUAAAGUUAGAGGAUAGAGCAGUGAAAUAAAAGACUGUCCUCUUAAAUAAAGGACGUAUGGUCACUGUA
rnacentral:lncRNA from 1 species